rnacentral:rRNA from 1 species
CCUACGGGGUGCAGCAGUGGGGAAUAUUGCACAAUGGGGGAAACCCUGAUGCAGCGACGCAGCGUGAGGGAGGAAGUAUUUCGGUAUGUAAAGCUCUAUCAGCAGGGGAGAAAAUGACGGUACCUAACUAAGAAGCUCCGGCUAACUACGUGCCAGCAGCCGCGGUAAUACGUAGGGGGCAAGGGUUAUCCGGAUUUACUGGGUGUAAAGGGAGCGUAGACGGUUAAUCAAGUCAGAAGUGAAAACCCAGGGCUCAACCUUGGGACUGCAUUUGAUACUGGGUAGAUAGAGUGCAGCAGAGGUAGGCGGAAUUCCUGGUGUAGCGGUGAAAUGCGUAGAUAUUAGGAGGAACACCAGUGGCGAAGGCGGCUUACUGGACUGUAACUGACGUUGAGGCUCGAAAGCGUGGGGAGCAAACAGGAUUAGAUACCCGUGUAGUC